AAUGGAAUGCCUGAUUAAAGGAUUAUCAUGAUAGGAUAAAUAAUGUAAAUUUUACUUCCAUUA
rnacentral:tRNA from 1 species